rnacentral:rRNA from 1 species
GAUGAACGCUGGCGGCGUGCCUAAUACAUGCAAGUAGAACGCUGAAGGAGGAGCUUGCUCUUUCCGGAUGAGUUGCGAACGGGUGAGUAACGCGUAGGUAACCUGCCUGGUAGCGGGGGAUAACUAUUGGAAACGAUAGCUAAUACCGCAUAACAGUAGAUAUUGCAUGAUAUUUGCUUGAAAGGGGCAAUUGCUCCACUACCAGAUGGACCUGCGUUGUAUUAGCUAGUUGGUGAGGUAACGGCUCACCAAGGCGACGAUACAUAGCCGACCUGCGAGGGUGGUCGGCCACACUGGGACGGAGACACGGCCCAGACGCCUUGGGGAGGCAGCAGUAGGGAAUCUUCGGCAAUGGGCGGAAGUCUGACCGAGCAACGCCGAGUGAGGGAAGAAGGUUGUCGGAUCGUAAAGCUCUGUUGUAAGGGAAGAACGAGUGUGAGAGUGGAAAGUUCACACUGUGACGGUAUCUUACCAGAAAGGGACGGCUAACUACGUG